GAGUUGAGUUGAGUUGAGUUGUUGCUACUCCUUUGAAUGAACUUGUGAAAAAGGAUGCUGUAUUUGAAUGGAAAAAAAGCAUGAAAAUGCAUUUUCUGAAUUGAAAGAAAAAUUAUGCAUUGCACCAUUGUUGAGCUUACCUGAUUUUGAUAAAAUGUUUGAAAUUGAAUGUGAUGCUAGUGGUGUAGGUAUAGGUGCAGUUCUGAUGCAAGAGAAAUGCUCUAUUGCAUAUUUUAGUGAGAAAUUGAAUGGUGCUGCCUUGAAUUACUCUACUUAU
rnacentral:misc_RNA from 1 species